UGAGGGGGACGAUGAUGUUGAUCAAACGUCACUAGAUCAAUAUCUAAUGAAGUAGAAAUCACAGAUUGAAGAAAACGGAUCAAUCAGAUGAAACAUUUCAAAAGAGACAAUUUCAAAUUCAUCUUGAUCAUGGGGUUCUAUUUAUUCUUUUUUGAAAUAAUGUUUUACAUCAAGUAUAAACAUUAUAUUUUUGAGGUGGUUUUGUGGUUGAAGUUGAAGUAUUUCCUGAAGCAAUAAACUUUUGUUAGUUUUCUAUACUAAAUGUACUUAGUAAAAGUUGUACAUUGUAUGUUUUGUAAUAAAUUGGAAAUUAGAAA